CGGUGGGUGAUGUCAUAAUAUGCGACAGCGCGUGUUCCCGGAGCUGUAGCUGGAGUUGGAGCUGGCGGGAAUCCCGGGUUUGAUUUUGAGGAAUUAUGACAGACCAAAGAGGAGAUAAAGAGAUUCAGCUCCAUCUCCAGACAGACACAGCUGAGAAGAAAGUGAUCUCUGAGGGCAGUUUUUUGAUGGAAAGCAAUAAUAAUUUGGCUGCCAAACAAUAUGUGCUGCCAGCAGCAGAAUUGUGCACUCAAGUGUGUAAAAGUGAAUCCCUGAUGGCUGUCUCUGAAGUUGGUGUGAUAAAGCAGACAGAUUCUAAAGCUCAGCAUGAACUGGGUGUUCCAUCUCCACAGUGCACUGCGAGUGGAGUUAAUGGUAAUGUAGUGCCUUGUGUAACUCUGACAACAUCUAUUGCGCAAGGAAAUUUGGAUGCAGUUAAAUCAAGUGAAGUUGACACCUCUGAGAAGUGUGAUAUUACAUUAGUCAGUCCUGCCCCAGUCACUGGUGAUCAAGAGAUGGAGGUUUCAGUGUCUGCUCAGCUGGAGACUUUAUCUUUUAAAAGAUCACAAUUGAUAUGCCAGGACCCAGAGUAUACACAAGGCAAGCAGUUAGGCCAGAGUAGUAAAUUCCCGUGGGUUGAUGUUACGUUACAAGAUGUUGCAGCUGAUGAAGAAGACAGUGAAGACGAUGCAAGCUCAUCAUCUGAAGACACUUCAUCAGACAGUGAUUCAGAUUCCACAUCGUCGUCAUCUUCUGCACCAUCGGUGGUUGUAAUGUCAGAUGGUGAUGAUGACGAUCAGGAACCAGGAGAAAAGAGAAAACCCCAACCAGUAAAAACAAAAGAUGAACUCUUGUUGGAGGAUCUGCCAAAAGUUGAAGAAGUAAAUAUUGUUCUUCCUGACGAGGUAGCAAAGGAGCCAAUUGGGUUUGUCUCCAGUAUUAUUGACCAACUGGUUAUUGUUGAAUCACUGAAGGAGAUGCCACCAGUGAAUGAGGAAACUAUCCUGUUCAAAAUGGACAACACGUCAGUUGGGAAGGUAUUUGAAGUGUUUGGACCAGUUUCUCAUCCAUUCUAUGUUCUCCGUUUCAAUUCUGUUGAAGACAUUGCUGUAAAGGAAAUCAAGCUACAAGAGCUGUUCUAUAUUGCCCCUGCAGUAAAGGAUUUCACUCAGUACAUCUUUACAGAGAAACUCAAGCAAGAUAAAGGUUCAGAUGCAUCAUGGAGAAAUGACCAGGAACCACCAACUGAGGCUCUGGAUUUUAGUGAUGAUGAAAAAGAAAGGGAGGCGAAACAAAAGAAGAAGAAGAAGCAACGAAAUCAUGGAGAUAAAAACACUCAACCUGGUGGAAAAGAAGAUGGACAAGCACAACAACAAAAACAAGUUCAUUCAACGUAUGGGAGAGGAUUUCAACACAAUCCUGGUCAAAGAUUUAGUCAUUAUUCUUCAGCCAGGUUUGAAAACCCAACAGGUUGUGGAUUUGCUCCGCCAUCGGGAAGCUUUGGUCCACCAUUUAACCAGAGGCCACCAUUUAGACCUCCAGGAUUUCAUCCUGACAAUAUGAUGCAUUCACAACCAGUGGUGUCAAAUCCAAUGAUGUCACGUUCUUAUUCUCCUUCAUUUUGGCCUCCAAUGCCAAAUGAUGUGCAUGGUUUCUUAACUCCCCCACCCCCUCCUCCACCUCGCCCUCCUUUCCCGCUUCCCCCAAUGAACACAGGCUGGUCAGAAUCUAACAUGAGGCAUCCUACUUGCUUUCCAAAUUCUCCUUUUUCUUGUUUUCCCAAUGCUCCCCCUCCUCACAUGCCAAAUUCUCAGCUCCCACCACAGUUACCUCCACAAGGCUCACAAGAUUUUCUCUAUAGACCCCAAUAUUAGGAAUGCUCAUGUACUGCAAGCUUUCUGAAGUACAUAAAUUACAUGAGAACAAUCAAGUAGCGUUCUCAAUGCGGUCGCAAACAGAAUUGGGUGCAAAAUCUUCCAAACAUUGAACUGCAUUUGAGAAAAUAAUGCAGCUUAUGGCAUUCGCUUCUUAUUAGUAAGAACAUAUUUGUCGUGAUCUUUAUGAUCUAAUCACCUGUUCACACCAAGUCUCUGCUUAAAAUAGCCGUUGGCAGCAAACAAAACCUUACCUAAACAUGUAAAAUUAAAUUUAAAGUACAGAGCUAAUAACCCUUAUGUUUUAUAAAAAAUUAAAGAACAAGUUCUUCAUGCUUACUAUUCAUGAAUACUUUAUUUGAUGUCUGCUAUUUUUUUUAAAACUUCAGUGGAAAGAGGCACUGAUUUUGGUCAUGUUAUGGGCUGAAUUUGCCUUUUCUUCACUCUUGUGAUAAAUGCAAUCAUGUACAGCAAUAGUUUAUGCGCACCAUUCUGCUUGUUCAGAAAUGGCAUUUUGUGGAUGAAAUAAGCUUUUGGCAGGGUAAAGUGGGUACCAGUGAAUCCGCAGCCUAGUUUGCAUCCCAGCUGAUUUUCUUUUCCACUUAAGCCAAUGAGAAAGGAAUUCGAGCAGGAUGCAAAAUGAUCAGCUAACUGGCUGUCGCUCAUUUUGUGUUGCUGCCAAAGGCCAAUUUCAUCCCUUAUUUCCUGGACAUAAUUGUAAUGCUGUAUUUUGUAAAUACAGAAACUUUGUUUCAUUGGUGUUAAAUUUGUCAUCGCAUAGUUAGACUUUUCAUACAUAAUAGCAAUCUUUUAAUCUUCAGAAAAUUCUGAUACCAGUUCUUUACUCAAAAUGAUAAUGUGCAAUCAGACAAAUCAAACCUUUUUUAAGAAGUUGCAAAGUUGAUCUUUGGUUAAUGUUUGUGUUUGUCUUUUGACAUUUAAUAUAAGUUUAGAGAGAAUUGAAUUAAACAUUAAAUUUACUUCACAA